rnacentral:tRNA from 1 species
AUUCUUUUAGUAUUAACUAGUACCACUGACUUCCAAUCAGUUAGUUCCGGCUCAAUCUGGAAAAGAAUA